AAGGAAAAAAAAAAAAACCUCACGAUGAAAAUUCCACACGUUACUAGGAUUACUUCAUAAACAGCACAUUCUUGACUCUGGAAUUCCCCCCAGACUCUGAACUGAGCUUACCCAUACAGAAAAAAACUGAAUUCAUUUGGAAAUGGGAGGAAAGCGGGGCAAAAUGUUAUCUUGGAGCUAUGACAUUUGGCUUCCAGUGGCCACACAAAAUGGACACACAUCAAAUGUCAGGCAGGCUGAUAAGGGACAGGAAGUAACCCUGUCAACACAACCAGCCCAACCUUCCCUGGCGGCAAAACCCUGGAUGCAGCAAUGCCUGGGCUCUAACUGCCCAUCACCCAGGGCAUGAGCAAAGCUGCGCCUGCAGGAAGAGCAUGGAGAGAUGAGACUUCAGUGAGCUUCUAUUCCAAGACUUUGGGGAAAAAGUUCAGAUGGGUGACACAGAGACAGAGACGAGGACUCACGGCUCCAAUCUAACCAUGGCACACGCUGCGUUCUCCUUCUGGAUUGAUGGCUCUUCCUCUUGGUUUUGGAAAACAGCAUUUAUACAGUACUUGAGACCACAUUCUUCUCCAUGUGUUGGCAGAGAAGCCUGGCCCAUAGAAAAAUCUCCAGCUUGCUUGCAGACCAAAAUCCAAAUGGAUUGUGGGGCUUUUUGUUGUUGUUGUUGUUUUGGGGGGGUGCACUUGCGGCAUAUGUAG
rnacentral:lncRNA from 1 species